AGCGAACGCUGGCGGCAGGCCUAACACAUGCAAGUCGAGCGCCCCGCAAGGGGAGCGGCAGACGGGAGAGUAACACGUGGGAACGUACCCUUUGGUUCGGAACAACCCAGGGAAACUUGGGCUAAUACCGGAUAAGCCCUUACGGGGAAAGAUUCAUCGCCGAAGGAUCGGCCCGCGUCUGAUUAGCUAGUUGGUGGGGUAACGGCCCACCAAGGCGACGAUCAGUAGCUGGUCUGAGAGGAUGAUCAGCCUCACUGGGACUGAGACACGGCCCAGACUCCUACGGGAGGCAGCAGUGGGGAAUAUUGGACAAUGGGCGCAAGCCUGAUCCAGCCAUGCCGCGUGGGUGAUGAAGGCCCUAGGGUUGUAAAGCCCUUUCGGCGGGGAAGAUAAUGACGGUACCCGCAGAAGAAGCCCCAGCUAACUUCGUGCCAGCAGCCGCAGUAA
rnacentral:rRNA from 1 species